rnacentral:tRNA from 1 species
GGAGAAUUAACUCAGUGGUUAGAGUAUCUUGUUUACACCAAGGCGGUCGGGGGUUCGAAUCCCUCAUUCUCCACAA